UGGGGAAUUUUGGACAAUGGGGGAAACCCUGAUCCAGCCAUCCCGCGUGUGCGAUGAAGGCCUUCGGGUUGUAAAGCACUUUUGGCAGGAAAGAAACGUCAUGGGUUAAUACCCCGUGAAACUGACGGUACCUGCAGAAUAAGCACCGGCUAACUACGUGCCAGCAGCCGCGGUAAUACGUAGGGUGCAAGCGUUAUUCGGAAUUACUGGGCGUAAAGCGUGCGCAGGCGGUUCGGAAAGAAAGAUGUGAAAUCCCAGAGCUCAACUUUGGAACUGCAUUUUUAACUACCGUGCUAGAGUGUGUCAGAGGGAGGUGGAAAUCCGCGUGUAGCAGUGAAAUGCGUAGAGAUGCGGAGGAACACCGAUGGCGAAGGCGGCCUCCUGGGAUAACACUGACGCUCAUGCACGAAAGCGUGGGGAGCAAACAGG
rnacentral:rRNA from 1 species